AAAGUCCCCUUCGGGGGACAAGUAGAGUGGCGCACGGGUGAGUAACACGUAGGUAAUCUACCUUCGGAUGGGGAAUAACAACCGGAAACGGUUGCUAAUACCGCAUAAUGCAGCGGCACCUAAUGGUGACAGUUGUUAAAGCGGGGGAUCGCAAGACCUCGCGUCUGAAGAGGAGCCUGCGGCGGAUUAGCUAGUUGGUAAGGUAAUGGCUUACCAAGGCGACGAUCCGUAACCGGCCUGAGAGGGCGGUCGGUCACACUGACACUGACAUACGGGUCAGACUCCUACGGGAGGCAGCAGUCGGGAAUUUUGGGCAAUGGGCGCAAGCCUGACCCAGCAACGCCGCGUGAAGGAUGAAAUCCCUCGGGAUGUAAACUUCGCAAGAACGGGAAGAAUAAGUAGGGGACAAUACCCCCUAUGAUGACGGUACCGUUUGUAAGCUCCGGCUAACUCCGUGCCAGCAGCCGCGGUAAUACGGGGGGAGCAAGCGUUGUUCGGAUUUACUGGGCGUAAAGGGCGCGUAGGCGGCCAGCGCAAGUCAGUUGUGAAAUCUCCGAGCUUAACUCGGAAAGGUCAACUGAUACUGCGCGGCUAGAGUGCAGAAGGGGCAACUGGAAUUCUUGGUGUAGCGGUGAAAUGCGUAGAUAUCAAGAGGAACACCUGCGGCGAAGGCGGGUUGCUGGGCUGACACUGACGCUGAAGCGCGAAAGCUAGGGGAGCGAACGGGAUUAGAUACCCCGGUAGUCCUAGCCUUAAACGAUGAAUGCUUGGUGUCUGGGGUUAUAAAGUCCCCGGGUGCCGU
rnacentral:rRNA from 1 species